GUGCUCGCUUCGGCAGCACACAUACUAAAAUGGGACUGACACGGAGGAGAUUGGCAUGGCCCCUGUGCAAGGAAGACACACAAAUGCGUGAAGUGUUCCAUGUUUUU
rnacentral:snRNA from 1 species